rnacentral:tRNA from 2 species
GCCCUUGUAGCUCAACGGUUAGAGCAGCAGACUCAUAAUCUGUUGGCUGUAGGUUCAAAUCCUACCGAGGGCA